UGGAUGGAUGGAUGGAUGGAUGGAUGG
rnacentral:piRNA from 1 species